rnacentral:SRP_RNA from 1 species
GCCGUAUAUUGCGGGAACUACUGUGAAUCGGGUGUUGAAGCUUGGUCUCACGCAAUGGGAAUCUACGAACCGUGUCAGGUUGGGAACAAAGCAGCACUAAGUAGAACCUCUCAUGUGCCGUGAGGGCGCCGGGUGGAGCCUGUGAAGCAGCCUGCGAUAUGCGGU